AUUCUUGGGUAAAUGCGUGCCCCCCUUGAUUGUGAAAUCAUGAGGAAAAUCGGGUGAAUUGCAAGAAACUCCAAUUAAUUAAUUGGACAAUUUGCAGCGAAGCAUAUAUCAGUGUUUAAUAGCCCCGGGGCUGGGGCUCAUCCCCAGACCUAAGGCCAGGGGCGGCUCGCCCGCCCCGGGAUAUAUGAACGUUCAACGACUAAUCAGUGAGCAACACUAGCAAUAAUCUGAACACGAGUGCCCGACAACACUAUAAUAAUCUAUCGGUGUUGAUGACAUAGUCUGAACAGUUUGGUAACAAACUG
rnacentral:ncRNA from 1 species